CAGGAAUGGUCAUUUUUCCUCUCCAAAGCAAGGUUUCCUCCACGCUGGUUCAGCUGUACCUGGUUCACUCUACCUGUGGAACUGAACCCCUGAGAAAUGUAUUUUAGAACAGUAUGAAGAAUUUCCUGCACGUUCAUAUGAGUACAGAGACCUUGAGAGCAGAGCAUGAGCUUCCCCACCAGGAGGGAACACAACCCCUUGGAUGGCUCAGCCUCACACACAGCCCUGGGGAAAUGUGAAGGGGAGGACUCAGCAAAAGCAAAGGGUUCACUAAUGUGAAAUCCCAGCAAGAGGAAACACAUGCCCUUGAAAAAGAGGUGGAGGAGGUGCUGCAGUGGUAACUGGUGCAGAGAAACAACAGGAUCCACUCUGAUUUCACACUGGGAAAGAUGCUGAUCUCAUGCACUUUGAGGAGUGCUGAAAGAAAAUCAAUAUGAAAAGGAGCUGAGAGAGAACACUUAUCACACUGAGCUGGUCUCAAGAGUUCAUGGAUUUCCACACCAACAGUGCUCUCCCAGCUCUGUGUGCUGAUCUGUAUCACAACCCUUUACAACUGUCAAUAUUCCCCUUUUUAAUUUUGUUAAUUGUUUUCUGUGCAGCUGCUUGCCUUUCUACGAGGAGUGGUAGAACUAUUUAUACCUGGUUUUACUGCUGCAUUAAAGGCCAUUCUGGUGCCCUUGGAGAGGAUGUCUGACUCUUGCUGCUCCCCUGAGAGCUGCAUUUAUCAGCAUGAUGGAAAGAAAGGGAAAUUAUACUUUCCAUAGGAGAAUGGAAGUCUAAAACACUCAAAGAAUUCCCAUGAAAAAUGAAUUAACUUUUUUUGUACCAAAAUAUAGCAUUUGAUGAAAAACGCUGCAGUUUUCAGGCAAUGCAUUUCCAACAACUUAUUUAAAUUUUUAUGAAAAACAGGCCCUUUUCUGCAAGAAGAAAAUGAAACAUUCUGUCAAAAAUAGUGUUCAUAUGGAAAAUUUUCAUUCAUUUCUAUUUAUAUGGCCACAGAUAUAUAAUAGCUGUAUAAACAGAACUGUUCAAAUGUGGACAUUUGCAUACUCCUACCCUCUCUUUUACUUGUCUCAUAUUAUCUGUGCACUUCAUUUACUAUAAAAAAAUAAAACACACACAAGUUCAAGAUCAAAUAUAACAUCAUUGCAACAAUUUCUUAGAGCAUUGACAAUCUAAUAUUCCAACGGGUGAUUCAAAUGGGCCCUUUGGACCUUGGCUCAUGAAUUUCAGAACAUGGUGAAUAACAUGAAUAGGUGCUUAAAAUCCACAGCAUUGUAACAUUUACUUAAGAGGGUUCCAAGGACACCUGAAAGGAGUUUCCAGUUGUGUGGUUCAUUCAGUGGGCUCUAAUGCUCAGACAUUUGAGGCAAAUACUUAGGGAAUGUUUCAGGAAUUUGUAAUUGAGCACAGUUCUUCUUGUACAGCUCAAAAGCCAGGAAGCCUGUCUUUGUGUGACUCUCAGCUUCAUGCCAAUUACACAAUGAAGGUAACACUUUUUUUCACUAGUUAAAAUAUUAAUACCACAAGGUAAACAUAAAUGGUCAAUUUAAAGGGUAUGUCCUGGACAAAGAUUUGGGAUGAGAUUUUUCCUUUCAUCGUAAAAGGAGGGAAAAACAAUGCAAAAACAUUCCACACAAAUUCGGGUGGAUGGAAAUGCAUUAGACCAAAAAUGUAAGGAGAGAGGAAAUAUUGAAAAUAGAACCAUUAAAGGACUGUGAGAAACUUGAAGGUUCAUUCACAUCCAGCCUUUCCUACUUACAUGUUUCAGACCUCUUAAAGAAAACUCAAUUCCAAAGGCUUUGAUAUGAAAUCUCUUUGUUCUCCAACUACUAAUAUUGCACAAUACUAAAACUUAUUGCAGAGUCCCAUUAAUCACCACAAUUUUAAAUCUGUUUAUUUGAAAGCUGGACCUUCAGAACUAUUCCCCAGCAAAAAGUCAACUACUCUUGCAGUGGCCUUUUAUUGGUGGCUGUUCCUGUUCAAUCCUGGCUAAUUCCCUGUAUGCUGCUGUUUAAAAAGGUUAAUAACAGUGCAUUUGUCUCAGGAUACUUUUGUCUCACAAGGUUGGAGGUCUUCAGUCAAAGCUGCAUUUUAUUAUCAGAAUGAAGAGCUCCUAGAAAAUUAUACUUGGAAAGCAGCUGGAGUCAUUAGGUGCUUUGCAAGUAAUAAAGAUAAUAACAGUUAGAUAAAUCCCAGAUGACCCGAAGAAGCCAACUCCCAGCUUCUAAUCUGGGAUGAGCCAGUCCUUGGAAGGACUUUGGUGCUGCUCAGAGGUGUAACCCUGCUCAGAGUCCCCUUGCACUGCAAGCUGACCCCUGCAUCUGCAGGAACCUGUGCUGCCCUCACCAGCCCACACUGCCCAUCCUGCAGCAGGUGUUUUUUUGGCAAAGCUGCUGACUAAAAGGAGAGCAAACCCAUCAGUUAAGCAGAGCCUGAGACAAGGCCAUAUAAUCAAUGGGCCCGUGGCAACAGAACUGACAAAACCCCUCCAGCUGCACCACAGAGGACACAACCCUUGUUAGCAGCACACAGGGCAGGAGGAGUCCUCCUGAAGCUCUUCAGCCUGUUAAUUUAUAUUAUUGGGAUGGUGUCUGCAGAAAACUGAGAAUGUGCCAGAGAGUAUAAAUUUGACAGACAAUUUGUAUACGCUCCUUUAAAUGUGCGGUUGGUAAAUUAUUUAUAUUACACGUUCAUCAUUUAUUAACUGAGGGUUGCUCGGAGCAGAGCUUCAUCACUGUCUCCACUGGAUCCUCCCUGGCAGAAGCACACCUAAAAACAGUGGUGAGAACAUUUCUCGUGCUCAUGGCAGUGCUGGCUGUCUGAUUGCUAAGAUCCAGGAUGGGGCUGACCUUGCCUGCUGCUGAGUUUUGGAGAGGGAGUCCUUCAGCAGGAGCAGCACUUCACCUGUCAGGAGCAGGCACUCUGCUCCAUCUCUGUACCAUGAAGAGAAGACCAUGUCUAGUGUACAAAGCAAUGUCUUUGCCAUCAAAGUUUCAUCUGAAACCAGUGACUAGUGUGAAUAGCAAGCAAAGGUCCUGGGUAAAGAGAGAAAGAGUCAUGUUCCACAUGAAGAGAUGCUUCCUUGCCAACUCUUUGGACAACGGAACUGAACAUAGAGAACACUAUACAUAAGGGGUUCACCCUCAACUCUAAAGCACUGGUUUGCUUCUCAUGCUCCUUCUACACAAGCCCCUGCUUGGCAACAGGGUGAAGAAGCAGCAGUGGGGAGACACUUGGAAAGCUGGCAGAGAUGAGAGCAGGGGCCAGCUGGCAGCAGAGCUCACUUCACACGGAGUUUGAGCUCAGAUGUUCAUAUUCCACAAAUCUAGUUACCAAAACCCUAAACAGCCACAUCUCAGCUGUCUCUGUCUUGAAAACGAAUCAUAAAAGCCAAGGUCACCUGUACAAUGUCCUCUAGUGCUUUUCCUGCCUAGAACUUUAAGAAAUCAUGCCCAAACACUGAGAAUAAGGUAAAGAGAAUUCUGACCUUCAUACCACAGGUAUGUUUCAUUUCAGUUCCCAAAAGUUUUAAAACAUAAAUAUAGUCAAGAAGUAUUAAAACAUCCCACCAGAUAGCAAGAUGUGGAAUAAAUCUGAGUUGGGCAUAAAUGAGCCCAGUCCUAGUCACCUAACUGAUGAGGCAUGAGGAGGAAACUGAAGUCUUAAUGCUUCAUUUUUAACAGAUAGAUUUAUUCCUUUGCUUAAUCUCACCUUCAGAGGCACCACUUGCAUCAGAAUGGCGAAGUUAGUGAGGUGGUUACAGAGACACACCGAGUAGUUGAGGUCCCCACUCUCACGCACACAACCUUCAUUAGACCAAACUCCAGUUCCAUUGCUGCAAAGCACACAAAAAAUGGAAACAGGCUCUUAGCAAAAUGCAUCCUAUGCAGGUUAAUUUGACAUGCAUUGUACUAUAUAGGAGAUAAAAAUUUGGAGUGCCAUCUCAGGCUGGAGCAUCCACAAACACUGCUAGUAUCUUCUCAAUUCCAUCAUGGAAAGAGUUAAGGAAAAUAUUGACCUGGACAAGGUGCAGUUGAGUCCUCUACAUUAAUGUUUCUAGAGAUUUCUUCCCAGUUUUAUAGUCAAUUUAUGAUAAUUACAUUUUUUCUUGAUAUUGUGCAUCUUAUUUAUGGUAUUUCACCCUGACCCAGAUUUCUGUAUUCUGUAGUAUCAGACAAAUCAAUAAUCUUGCAAACCCCAAAAAAGUCAGUGUGUCUUAUCUGCUGCCUGCCCCUGUCCCACUCAUCCUGUCACAAGAAGGAACUCAGGCUGAUUGAGCACGAUUUCCAGUGACCCAUCAACUGGGUUUUGUCACAUCACCCUCAGGGGCAGCAACAGCAGCUCCUGCUCCACUGAGGGUGUGGCUGGGCAGGCUGUGGGACCUGGGCCCAGGUCUGGGAGAUGCUCACAAGUCUGCCUUUUCUUGGAGCCAGGGAAAACCAGAAUUCCCUGUGCUAUCACACUCCUGAAGUGGGGUGGGGACAGAAAAGCCACAGACACAGGUCUGUGGGUGCUCUGUGGGCUCAGGCACCAGAGGUCACCCACCCAAACUGCCUGAUCUUCGCUAUUUAUUACUUUUGAUAUUAUUCUGGGUCUUGCAGCUACACUGAGUGAUCUGCAUUGUCUCAGUACUUAUUUUAAAGAUUGAUAUUACCUCACACUUCUGUCCUUCGAGACCUCCUUGAGUUCUCAAAGAGAGUCUGUUGUAGGUCAGAAACUAAUUUCUUAUUCUUUAACUACCACGCACUAGGGAAUAAGACCAUCUUGACACAAAUGAAACUCAUUUGGAAGGACAGAUUUCAUAUUUAAGUUUCUACCCCGAGGCAAAGCCUCAAGGGCCCAAGCCCCAGUGGGGAGCAGCACAGGAACAAUGCCACAACCAUAUUAAUUUGCUGCAGUAAAAUCUGUUUCUAAUUUAUUGUAAUUUGUGAGUAACCAUAACAACGGGUAACUGCCAACAGCUGGGACAGUUCAGCACAUUUGAAACAAAACUUCAAUAAAACAAUUACAGUGACCUUCCCAAGUGCAAGCUGGUAGGAGGGAUCACAGCAUCAUGGGCUGUUGCUACAUAAAUUAGGCUUAUACCGUUAUGGCUCAAAAACUGUUAAUCCCCAUCAAAUUCAAAAUUCAGUAUUUGUAUUAAUUCUCAAUUAAUUCAGUAAGAGCAGCAUGUUUCAAAAUCAAAACCAGAUGAAAUGUAUUCAGAGCUAAAAAAAAAAAAUAGAAAAAGAAAAAGCUAGUUCUUUUCCACAGCCCUUAUUUUCCAACUGAAAUUUGAGGCGAUAUUUGUUUCCCUUUAAUUUCAAUUUGCAUUCAGGGAUGUAAUAUUUAUCCAUUCCGUGCAUUGGCCAAAAUUCACAGCUCUGAAAUACUGAUCUCACAUGGUGUUGUGACACAGGCACAGGUCCAGUGAAAACAAUGGCUGUGCUGGAGGUUUGCCAUCGUAAAACAUCCAAGCAUCUGCCCAAGUGGACAUACCCAUAAACCAAGAUAAGCAUGAUUUGUAUCACUCUGCAGUUUUGAUCACAAAAUCUUUUGAGUCUCCCAGUUACCCACCUGAUCCAGGGUCUGUGAGUAACAAGUCUCCUAUUUAUGGUAAGAAGCCACUAUCAGACUGCAUUUUGUCUAAACCAGUGGUUCCAUUUCUUUAACUGUUCCCAUGAAUGGAGGGAAACAAGAAGGAUGUGGGUAAUACACAGCAUCACAAACCAAGUGUAAUUUAAUUAAAGCUAGUUAAAGGAUUUGAAAUUAUGUAACAUACCUAUAGUCCAGAAAUGCACAGUAAAGAUGAACUCUGUUACUCUUAUUUAGUGCUUGGCUGUAUUGUCUGGGUGUCUGCAAGAAAAAAAAACACAAACCCUGAGGGAAUGUUUAAAAAGGAUUAAAUUCUGCUAUUCAAUUCCUUUAAAUUCUCAAUGCUAUAAUAAUUUCAAGAGGCUUAUUCUAGAUUAACACACCACGACUGACAGCGAAAUUGUUCAGUCCUCCUAGCUUUAACACAGGCUCCAAACACGCAAAGGCUGGUAUUCAGUCUUAAUUUUACACACUGGGAUUAAUCUCACGCCACUUUGAGUGAGAAAUCUCUGUCCCAUUUAAGUAAAUAGCAAACCAGGAUUAUUUAUUGUGUAUAAACACAAAUACAUGUGUUAAUUUUUGGAGGAUUGGGGCAUUAUUCUUUGGCAUGUAUUUGGCUUCUUUGGGUUUUGUUCAUAGUUUGUUCUCACCGGGUAAUAAAAAUGUCACAUUUUAGGAUUAAUAACAUUGAAAUAUAUGCAUUACAAUGACCAACUCACAGACAUUUUCUUUCCACAAUAGCAAUUAUUUUAAAACAUACAAUCAAACUGAAAGAGAAGUGCCAUAAUUCAAGAUUUUAUUUUAACACACCUCAGCAUUAUAAUGACAUAAUUUCUAUCUUCUGUAAACAGAUUUAGCAACUAACUCAAUCUCCUAUAUUCAAGAAGCUUUGAGAGCCCAUUCUCCACUCUGUUACACCAGCUUGAUGACAAAAUAAUUCAAAUUAUAUUGGACCGAAGUAAUAGUUUUGUUACAGACAAAAUAUGCAAACUAGAGGAUUUCCGGGAUUUGCUCAACCCUUUCUAAUACAUAAAUCCCCAAAGUCCACAUUGUGUGGACCCUACCUUAUGGCAAUUUUUUUAAUUACAAGAGUCUUCAACAGAAACAAAUCACUGGUGAAUUAACAGCUCUGGGAUUAUUGCAACACAAUCCUGCUGUCAAGCUGAAAGAUAACCAAGUAUGGCUUUGGAGACAGAUAACCAAGUUAUGUUUUGGAGAAAGAAGGGAGAAAACCCCACCACCUCGUUGUGCUGACACUCAACCAAGUACAGGGAGUUCCUCGUGCAAUUUUCCUUCUCCUCUCCCCCAAGUCCAACAAGGAGGGUCAGGCACAAGGCAGCACAGUUCCCUCCUCACCAGUGAUGAUAAAGCAUUUCUGCACAGCCCAGGGCACCCACACGUUCACACUGGAUUUCCACACACCUCAAGUAGCUGUGCUGUAGAUAAGGACAUUUACUUCUUCUUAACUCAUGUCUCUGGGGAACAUAAAUGGAAUUCUCCUAUCUGCUUGAACACAUCCCUGGACAAAACUUCCAGUUCCUUGCCUCACCCUGUUUUCCCCAAGCCCUUGUCAGGGAAACAGCUGAGGUUGCAGGUCAGGUGCUUUGUGGAGGGGAAGGGCUGUCACUCACCUGCUGAGGGUCUCUACCUUCCCCUUAGGUUCUGGUGGCACCCUGCAGCCCUUUCCCACCAGGCAAACACUGAAACCCCAUACUCUCACACUGGGAAGGGAUAAUGGGGCAGAUUCACAACCCUCAUCGUCAGGAAAUACCUCACUGAUAUAACCCCCAAUCUGCUCACACCGCUUUCGUUCCAGCUGUGGUGAGGGAGGUGUGGCAAAGCCAAGUGUAUGAUGUUAAUUGAUGGUAAUAACAGAGGAUUCCUUCCUCAUCUGUGAAAGGGUGGUCAGGGACUGGAAUAGAUUGCCCAGGGAGGUGGUGGAGUCACCAGGCCUGGAGGCGUUUAAGAGGCAUCUGGAUCUGGCACUGAGUGAUGUGGUUUGGUGGUUACAGGGCUGGUGCUGGGUUGAUGGUUGGACUGGAUGAUCUUAAAGGUCUCUUCCAACCUUGAUGAUUCCAUGAUUCCAGGAAAGACCUUCCCCAAUACUGGCUGCCCAGAGAAGGCCUUGUACAAGGCACCAGGUCUGAACUGGUAUGUUCCCUGCUAGAUCCAUCAAUCCUAACCUUCUGGUUCCUUUCAGAAAGUGCCCUGCCACAGCCUCACCUUUAACAACGGCAGGUCCUGCACACCUUCCACGUCACAAACUACCCAUAAAAUAGAAUGUCUUACAGAAAUUGCUUCCUUCAUCAAUCCCACCUCUCGCUGCUCAGAGCAAUCUUGAAGAGCACUAGUUCAGAAAAUGCAGAAGGUUAAUGAUCCAUAACCCAUGGCUGGAAAACUGCCUUCUGCAACUUCAGUUAAUUUGGAGUUUUGUUGGCAGAGUUCACUUUGUUUCACCAGCAGCAAGAGCUCUGUUUGCCUGUUGUGCUGUAUAAUGUCAUGUCCAUCAUGGCAACAGUCUUCCUGAAGUAAGCAAUUGGAAGAAUCUACAGUCAACCUGUAUUACAAAUUAUUUCACUUCUAUGACAAACAGUGGCUAAAAAAAAAAAAAAAAAAAAAAAAGAGAAAAGAGGGCAAGAUCCGCUGUAAUAACAGCUAAGAUGGAACAAUAACUGUCAUUUCUGAUUUGUAAGAUAUCUCUAGAUAAAUCUGGAUUCUUAAUGCACUAAAUGGAAAGGGCACCACAGGGUCAGGUUGGAAGAAGAUGUAAUAUUGCAGUUGCGUAUCUUUUUACACAAAUAAAUCCCAGAUGUAUGUUAUACUCUCAAUUAGGUAUCUCUGGCAAGGGACAAAUUAUUGUUUUUCUCUAUCUCGACUCUAAACACAGAUGUCACUCAUUAUUCAAUGAAAUGCACCAAGUGAGGCCAUACAGCCUCUGACCUGUCCAGAAUUGUGUGUGUACCUGGAUGGAAAAAAUAGAUAAGUAAUAAUUACAAAUAAAUAGAUGAAUAGAUUAAAAAAUGGACAAGAA